UGCCACCACGGUAGUUAGGUUUUCACUCA
rnacentral:piRNA from 1 species